AUUUUCUAAAACGAAAGUGAAAAACUCAGUCUCUGUUUUCAGUAAAUACUGUAUCGUUUUAAGGAGUUCACAAGGGAUCAAUCGGGAAGAAAAGCAUGUGUGUAUCCAAAAAAAAAUUUUCAGGGGGUUGGGGUCCGAGAGAUAACUGUUUCCAGAAGGGGAAAGCUAUUUUCGGUUUUACAACAAUACAAAACACGUAAAACAAUGCCGGAGCUUCUUAAAAAAUCUUAUAGAGAUCAGCUGGUCACAUGGAUUGGUAAGACAUGUCACUUCCGGUUGUUGUACAAGAUCAGCAGGGACGGAUGUUCGGGCCCGACGUUUCAUCAACAAUGUGACGGGAAGGGUGCCACUGUAACAGUUUUCUACAACACAAAAAACACGAUAUACGGCGGCUACCUGUCACAGAGCUGGAACUCUAGUGGUGGUUACAUAAACGACCCUAAGGCUUUUCUAUUCCGGCUACAGUACAACGGGUCAUCCAAUCCAUUGAAAUUCCCUGUAAGUGAUGCUAGCAAAGCUGGGUAUGGCAUGGGAAGCUAUGGUCCAACAUUUGGCAGUGGACAAGAUAUACAUUCUUUUACUGGGCAAGUUCAAUGUUCAGGGAAAGUGUUUUCUCUUAAUGGAUACUUACACGGUCUUGGAAAUGGUUACAACCUGAACGGCCAAAAUGUAAAUACUAUAACAAACAACAGUUUGAGUGUCACGGACAUGGAAGUUUAUCUUGUUAUAGACGGUCAAAAGCAGGACAAACCUUGGAGAGAACACUUAGAAUGGACAAGUGAGACACUGCAAGAAUUAAAGGGGACGUUGCUUGACUAUACACCAAUGACGGAAACAAACGUGCCAGCAGCAAACAUCCUCCUGAUUGGACAGACUGGCACGGGGAAAUCCAGCUUCUUCAAUUCUAUCAAUUCCAUCUUUCGUGGGAAAAUCACCAGUAAAGCUGUUACCGGGAGGUUUGAGCACAGUGUCACGACAAUGUACAGACGAUACGAACUGAAAGAUAUCGCCACAAAGAAAGUCCUAAAUUUCCGCUUAUGUGACACUGUCGGAUUACAGGAACAAUUUGCGUUUGAUUCACAGGAAUUUGCCUUCAUCUUAUGUGGGAACCUUCCCGAUUGUUAUCAGUUUAACCCCCUGCUCCCUUUUUCACCGGAUACACCUGGCUAUAUCAAAGAUCCGGAUCUCAAAGACAAAAUUCACUGCGUGGCAUUUGUCAUUGAUGGUAGCACAAUGGGCGUUAUGUCAGACCCAAUCCAAAAACAGAUAAAAGAUUUGCAAGUCAGAGUGAACUAUAGAGGUUUGAAGAAAUGUAGCUGCUAAUCUGUAGCCCCCAGUCUGAAAAAAAAAUCGGAUAGACGACACGGGAGCCACAGUUCCUUAUGUGUCUUCCCCAGGCUGUCUUGUUGACCAACAUUGACAAAAUAUGUCCUGAUGUGGAUGACGAUGUAACAAAUACCUUCACAAGUACCGCUGUCUGUGAAGCUGUUAACAAAGCAGCAGAAAUAACAGGUCUCUCACGUGAUCACGUGUUUCCGGUAAAAAAUUACGAAAGCGAGAGAACCUUGAAGACCCCAAUGGAUAUUUUGUUGAUGGAAGCCUUGAAACAAUGCCUGGACUUUGCGGAUGAAUAUAUGGAUGAACAGCUACACAGAGUGGCAACGGAAAAACAAAAACAUCUUGCAAAAGUUUGAAUAAACAUUGAUGAAAAGGAAAGAAGAUAUAAAAUAAAAACAAAAUGAUAAAUAACUUUUGACAGAAAUUUGUUAUAUACAAAUAUAUAACAAGUUCAAAGUACUCACUUUUUUAAUUCAUAUUUUUAUUAAUAACUUUCACAAUUUGUUACAUACUACAUUUCUUUUGGAAUGUCUACAUUUUUUUUUUUUGCUUUUCAUAUACAUAGUACAUGCCAGUUUAGCCAAAUGAUAAUGAUCCAUGUUGUAAAAGUGUUUUUGUAAGUAAGAGUGAGAAAGGACAGAACACACUGAGUGAAAUAAUAUGCAUAUAUACAAAUAAAAAGCAACAAAAAAGC
rnacentral:misc_RNA from 1 species